rnacentral:rRNA from 1 species
CUUGGUUGAUCCUACCAGUAGUCAUAUGCCUGUCUCAAAGAUUAAGCCAGGCAUGUCUAAGUAUGAACUAAUUCAAACUAUGAAACUAUGGAUGGCUCAUUAAAUCAGUUAUAAUUUUUUUGAUGGUACCAUACUACUCGGAUAACCAUAGUAAUUCUAGAGCUAAUAUGUGCACCAAGUCCUGACUCUUUGGAAGGGAUGCAUUUUUUAGAUAAAAGGCUAGCACAGGCUUUCCUGCUUCAUCGAUGAAUCAUGAUAACUCGAUGGAUCACAUAGCCCUUGUGCUGGCGAUGCUUCAUUCAAAUUUCUUCCCUAUCAACUUUCGAUGGUAGGAUAGAGGCCUACCAUGGUGGUGAUGGGUGAUGAAGAAUUAGGGUUUGAUUCCAGAGAGGGAGCCUGAGAAACGGCUACCACAUCCAAGGAAGGCAGCAGGAGCACAAACUUACUAAUCCCGACAUGCGAAGGUAGUGACAAUAAAUAACAAUACUGAGCUCAUCGAGUCUGGUAAUUAGAAUGAGUACAAUUUAAAUCCCUUCAUGACGAUCCAUCGGAGGGAAAGUCUGGUGCCAGUAGCUGCGGUAAUUCCUACUUCAUUAGCGUAUAUUUAAGUUGUUGCAGUUAAAAAGCUCAUAGUUGGAUCUUGGGUCGUAAAGGUCGGUCCGCCUACUCAGUGUACACCUACCCUUCCAUCCCUUUUGUUGGUGGCAUGCUUCUAGCCUUAAUUGGCUGGGUCACGGCUCCAGAACUAUUACUUUGAAAAAAUUAGAGCACUCAAAGCAAUAUUAUGCUCUGAAUACAUUAGCAUGGAAUAACAUGAUAGGAGUCUGGUCCUAUUGUGUUGGCCUUCGGGACUGGAGUAAUGAUUAAUAGGGACUAUCGGGGAAAUUUGUAUUUCAUUGUCAGAGGUGAAAUUCUUGGAUUUAUUAAAGAUAGACCACUAUGAAAUCAUUUUCCAAGGAUUUUUUCAUUAAUCAAGAAUGAAAGUUGGGGGCUCGAGGAUGAUCAGAUACCAUCCUAGUCUCAACCAUAAAUGAUGUCGAACAGGGAUUGGUGGAUGUUUCUCUAAGGACUCCACCAACACCUUCUGAGAAAUCAGAGUGUUUGGGUUUCGUGGGGAGUAUGGUCGCAAGGAUGAAGCUUAAAGGAAUUGAUGGAAGGGCACCACUAGGAGUGGAUCUUGUGGCUUAAUUUGACUCAACACGGGGAAAAUUAGCAGGUCCAGACAUAGUAAGGAUUGACAGAUUGAGAGCUCUUUUUUUAUUCUAUGGGUGGUGGUGCAUGGUCAUUCUUAGUUGGUAGAGCGAUUUGUCUGGCUAAUUCCAAUAACAAAUGAGACCUCAGCCUGCUAACUAGCUAUGUGGAGGUUCCACUUCACGACCAGCUUCUUAGAGGGACUAUGGCCAUUUAGGCCAUGGAAUUUUGAGGCAAUAAUAGGUCUGUGAUUCCCUUAGAUGUUCUGGGUUGCAUGUGCACUACACUGAUGUAGCCAACGAGUUAUUCUUCCUAGUUCAAGAGGAUCAAGAAAUCUUCUCAAAUUGCAUCGUGAUGGGGAUAAACCAUUGUAAUUAUUGGUCUUCAAAGAGGAAUUCCUAGUAAGCGCAUGUCAUCAACUCGUGUUGACUACAUCCCUGCCCUUUGUACACACCACCGUCACUCCUACCAAUUGAAUGAUCCGAUGAAGUGUUCAGAUUGCAUCGAUGAUGGUGGUUCGCCAUCGUCGACAUCGUGAGAAGUUCAUUGAACCUUAUCAUUUAGAGGAAGGAGAAGUCAUAACAAGGCUACCGUAGGUGAACCUGCUAUAG